rnacentral:snRNA from 1 species
GUGCUCCCUUCGGCAGCAUAUAUACUAAAAUGGGAACGAUACAGAGAUUAGCAUGGCCCCUGCGCAAGGAUGACAUGCAAAUUCAUGACGCGUUCCAUAUUUUU